AUUUAGGAGAAUACUAAAUUGGUUCCGUUGAGAGAGGAGAUUCCUGCAUCAGGCAGUGGCAACGGUAAUGAAAACCAGGGGCAGAUGGAAAAGACACCAGGGCGGUAGAAUCCAUGGUAUUUGGCAGGAGAUGAGCUGGAGUCGGGGUGGUGAUGGGGAGAUGGAGACAGCAGAGGCCAUGCCAAGAAUCUCUGAUCUUGAGAGAAGAUGAAUCUUGUGGACAUCAGGGAGAAGAUAAACCAUUGGCUUCUCAACUUCCAGCACUUUUCAUCCUAUGGGCAGCCAUGAGAUCUUGUGCAGUAGAGAUGGGAGCAGAUGGUAUCUUAACACUUGGACAGACAAAGGAUGCUGACCACAGAUCUCACUCAUGGGCCUGCGUGAAUCCUGUAUCACCACCAUCGUUAAAGUUUCUCUCCGUUGAAGCCCUCUGUGGAACAAGACACAUCUCAAAGCUUCUCUCUGCUUCUUCUGCAUCUCAGAGGAUGGAUCCCUGCCAGUGGAAGGCUGAAGCCAGCCCUUCUGCCUUUCUUGUGAGCUAACCUUGGCUUCCCAGACAAGCCACUGCUAGGAUGUUUUAUCUGAGGCAAGUGCAGUCCUGAACAAAGGCAAACUCAAUCCUGGGAUUUAAGGAAGGAACCUGAGAAGUCUCCUUAAUAGGAACCUCUACCCUAUUUCCACCAUGUCUGAACAUAAUCUCAUCAUAACAGCCUCCUGGUUGACUAUCUACGAAUCUCCCUACUCUUUAAAAAUUGUGGUGAAAUUCAUGUAACACAAAAUUAGCUGUUUUAUUAAAGUGAAUAAUUCAAAAAAAAAAUAAAAAAAAAAAAAAAAAUAAAGUGAAUAAUUCGGUGGCAUUAGAUAUACCCACAACACUGUAUAGCCACCCGUCUCCAGCUCCAAAAUAUUCUCAUCACCCCAAGAGGAAGUCUGUACCCACUAAGCAGUCCUUCCUUCUUUCCAGCCCCUGGCAACCACAAAUCCACUUUCUGUGUCUAUGGGUUCACAUGUUCUGGUUAUUUCAUAUAUAAAAUCAUACAACAUGUGGUCUUUUGUGCCUGGCUUCUUUCACUUAGCAUAGUUUGAAGGUUUAUCCACAUUGUAGUGUGUGUCAGUACUUCAUAUAUUUUUUUUAAGUGACUGAACUCAAAUUUCAUCUGUGGAUGGUUGGAUAACACCUGCGUGCACACUAAGUCACUUUAGUCGUGUCCAGCUCUUUGUGACUCUAUGAACUGUAGCCCGCCAGGCUGCUCUGUCCAUGGAAUUCUCCAGGCAAGAAUACUGCAGUCGGUUGUCAUGCCCUCCUCCAGGGGAUCUUCUAGACCCAGGGAUCGAAACUGUGUCUGUUACAUCUCCUGCAUUAUCAGGUAGGUUCUUUACCACUAGCUCCACAUGGGAAGCCCGGAUAACUCAUGGUGGUGUGUAUAUGCCAACUC
rnacentral:lncRNA from 1 species